UACGUAGGCAGCGAGCGUUGUUCGGAGUUACUGGGCGUAAAGAGUGCGUAGGCGGUUUUCUAAGUUUGGUGUGAAAUCUCCCGGCUUAACUGGGAGGGUGCGCCGAAGACUGGAAGGCUUGAGUAUGGGAGAGGUAAGCGGAAUUCCUGGUGUAGCGGUGAAAUGCGUAGAUAUCAGGGGGAACACCUGCGGUGUAGACGGCUUACUGGACCAUAACUGACGCUGAGGCACGAAAGCGUGGGUAGCAAACAGG
rnacentral:rRNA from 1 species